rnacentral:rRNA from 1 species
UAUGAUCACUCGAUGUCGGGGGAUUCGACCCCUUCGGUGUCUAAGCUAACGCGAUAAGUGAUCCGCCUGGGUAGUACGAUCGCAAGAUUAAAACUCAAAGGAAUAGACGGGGACCCACGCAAGCGGUGGAGCAUCUGGUUUAAUUCGACAGUAAGCGAAGAACCUCACCAAGGCUUGACAUCCCGAGAAGAUUGCCGAAAGGCGAUUGUGCCGCAAGGAACUCGGUGACAGGUGCUGCAUGGUUGUCGUCAGCUCGUGCCUUGAGGUGUUCGGUUAAGUCCGUAAACGAGCGCAACCCAUGUCUUAUGUUGAAUUUUUCAUAAGAGACUGCCGGCUCCAAGUCGGAGGAAGGUAUGGAUGACGUCAAAUCAGCAUGGCCCUUAUGCCUUGGGCCACACAGGUGCUACAAUGGGAGAUACAAAGGGCUGCAACAUAGUAAUAUGAAGCCAAUCCUGAAAGUCUCUCUUAGUUCGGAUUGAGGGCUGCAAUUCGCCCUCAUGAAGCUGGAAUCGCUAGUAAACGUGAAUCAGCUAUGUCACGUUGAAUAUGUUCCUGGGUCUUGUACUCACCGCCCGUCAAGUCAUGGAAGGUUGGAGUACCCAAAGUUCCCUUAGUUUUCGAACGGGGGCCUAAGGUAAUACAACUGACUGGGACU